UACGAAGGGGGCUAGCGUUGCUCGGAAUGACUGGGCGUAAAGCGCACGUAGGCGGCUUCUUAAGUCGGUGGUGAAAUCCUGGAGCUCAACUCCAGAACUGCCUUCGAUACUGGGAAGCUCGAGUCCGGGAGAGGUGAGUGGAACUGCGAGUGUAGAGGUGAAAUUCGUAGAUAUUCGCAAGAACACCAGUGGCGAAGGCGGCUCACUGGCCCGGUACUGACGCUGAGGUGCGAAAGCGUGGGGAGCAAACAGG
rnacentral:rRNA from 1 species